UUUGCAGUGGUCGCGGUGCUGGCAGGGGCAGCCGUGGGAGGCCUGCAGCAACUGGCUAGAGGAGAGGAUCAAGGCUUGGUCAUAAUGCAAGACAAUAAUUAGCGCAUCAGCAGCAACUACUAACACAUGAACAACUUCAUCUGGGAAGGUGAGAGGCUUCAUUCCACAGGCUACGAGUCAACCCUCAGAUGGAGAUUGAAGGGGGAGAAAAAAAUCUAUUUGCAAACUUUGUUCACUCGGCCAAAUCUCCCCAAGAUUCUUCACAGGGUAAGAGGGAACCAAGGAAGGUAUGCAGGUAAUAGGAACAUUUUGUCAGGGCAAAGGUGAUCUGUACCCAAACUCCUAUUUUCCACAGAGAAACAGGAACUGCAGGUGCUGAUUUAAAAAAAAAAGUGCUC